rnacentral:rRNA from 1 species
CGUAAAGCUCUGUUGUUAGGGAAGAACAAGUGCAAGAGUAACUGCUUGCACCUUGACGGUACCUAACCAGAAAGCCACGGCUAACUACGUGCCAGCAGCCGCGGUAAUACGUAGGUGGCAAGCGUUGUCCGGAAUUAUUGGGCGUAAAGGGCUCGCAGGCGGUUUCUUAAGUCUGAUGUGAAAGCCCCCGGCUCAACCGGGGAGGGUCAUUGGAAACUGGGAAACUUGAGUGCAGAAGAGGAGAGUGGAAUUCCACGUGUAGCGGUGAAAUGCGUAGAGAUGUGGAGGAACACCAGUGGCGAAGGCGACUCUCUGGUCUGUAACUGACGCUGAGGAGCGAAAGCGUGGGGAGCGAACAGGAUUAGAUACCCUGGUAGUCCACGCCGUAAACGAUGAGUGCUAAGUGUUAGGGGGUUUCCGCCCCUUAGUGCUGCAGCUAACGCAUUAAGCACUCCGCCUGGGGAGUACGGUCGCAAGACUGAAACUCAAAGGAAUUGACGGGGGCCCGCACAAGCGGUGGAGCAUGUGGUUUAAUUCGAAGCAACGCGAAGAACCUUACCAGGUCUUGACAUCCUCUGACAACCCUAGAGAUA